rnacentral:rRNA from 1 species
UACAGAGGGUGCAAGCGUUAAUCGGAAUUACUGGGCGUAAAGCGUGCGUAGUCGGUUAUUCAAGUCGGGCGUGAAAGCCCCGGGCUCAACCUGGGAAUUGCGUUCGAUACUGUUUAGCUAGAGUUCGGCAGAGGGAAGUGGAAUUUCCGGUGUAGCGGUGAAAUGCGUAGAUAUCGGGAAGGAACAUCAGUGGCGAAAGCGACUUCCUGGACCAGAACUGACGAUCAGGCACGAAGCGUGGGGAGCAACAGG